rnacentral:rRNA from 1 species
CUACGGGCUGCUGCAGUGGGGAAUCUUAGACAAUGGGGGAAACCCUGAUCUAGCCAUGCCGCGUGGGCGACGACGGCCCUAGGGUUGUAAAGCUCUUUCAGCAGGGAAGAUAAUGACGGUACCUGCAGAAGAAGUCCCGGCUAACUCCGUGCCAGCAGCCGCGGUAAUACGGAGGGGACUAGCGCGGUUCGGAAUUACUGGGCGUAAAGCGCGCGUAGGCGGAUUGUUAAGUCGGGGGUGAAAUCCCAGGGCUCAACCCCGGAACUGCCCUCUAUACUGGCAGUCUUGAGUUCGAGAGAGGUGAGUGGAAUUCCGAGUGUAGAGGUGAAAUUCGUAGAUAUUCGGAGGAACACCAGUGGCGAAGGCGGCUCACUGGCUCGAUACUGACGCUGAGGUGCGAAAGCGUGGGGAGCAAACAGGAUUAGAUACCCCCGUAGUC